rnacentral:rRNA from 1 species
AUGAACGCUGGCGGCGUGCCUAAUACAUGCAAGUCGAGCGAACAGACGAGGAGCUUGCUCCUCUGACGUUAGCGGCGGACGGGUGAGUAACACGUGGAUAACCUACCUAUAAGACUGGGAUAACUUCGGGAAACCGGAGCUAAUACCGGAUAAUAUAUUGAACCGCAUGGUUCAAUAGUGAAAGACGGUUUUGCUGUCACUUAUAGAUGGAUCCGCGCCGCAUUAGCUAGUUGGUAAGGUAACGGCUUACCAAGGCGACGAUGCGUAGCCGACCUGAGAGGGUGCUCGGCCACACUGGAACUGAGACACGGUCCAGACUCCUACGGGAGGCAGCAGUAGGGAAUCUUCCGCAAUGGGCGAAAGCCUGACGGAGCAACGCCGCGUGAGUGAUGAAGGUCUUCGGAUCGUAAAACUCUGUUAUUAGGGAAGAACAAAUGUGUAAGUAACUAUGCACGUCUUGACGGUACCUAAUCAGAAAGCCACGGCUAACUACGUG